CUGCCGCGUGGCGUGCGGGUGGGAUGCGGGAGAGUGUGCUUCUCCGGCGGGCAGGCGUGGCGUCCGUACGGGGCGGGGGCGGCGGCCC
rnacentral:tRNA from 1 species